rnacentral:rRNA from 1 species
CAGCAGCCACGGGAAUACGUAGGGUGCAAGCGUUAAUCGGAAUUACUGGGCGUAAAGCGUGCGCAGGCGGUGUUGUAAGACUGAUGUGAAAUCCCCGGGCUCAACCUGGGAACUGCAUUGGUGACUGCAACGCUGGAGUGCGGCAGAGGGGGAUGGAAUUCCGCGUGUAGCAGUGAAAUGCGUAGAUAUGCGGAGGAACACCGAUGGCGAAGGCGGCCAUCUGGGACAACACUGACGAUGAGGCACGAAAGCGUGGGGAGCAAACAGGAUUAGAUACCCCAGUAGUCCCUGUCUCUUAUAC